rnacentral:rRNA from 1 species
UCAGAACGAACGCUGGCGGCAGGCCUAACACAUGCAAGUCGAGCGCAGCUUCGGGACCGAGCGGCGGACGGGUUAGUAACGCGUGGGAACAUACCCUUUUCUACGGAAUAGCCUCGGGAAACUGAGAGUAAUACCGUAUAAGCCCUUCGGGGGAAAGAUUUAUCGGGAAAGGAUUGGCCCGCGUUAGAUUAGAUAGUUGGUGGGGUAAUGGCCUACCAAGUCUACGAUCUAUAGCUGGUUUUAGAGGAUGAUCAGCAACACUGGGACUGAGACACGGCCCAGACUCCUACGGGAGGCAGCAGUGGGGAAUCUUAGACAAUGGGCGCAAGCCUGAUCUAGCCAUGCCGCGUGUGUGAUGAAGGUCUUAGGAUCGUAAAGCACUUUCGCCAGGGAUGAUAAUGACAGUACCUGGUAAAGAAACCCCGGCUAACUCCGUGCCAGCAGCCGCGGUAAUACGGAGGGGGUUAGCGUUGUUCGGAAUUACUGGGCGUAAAGCGUACGUAGGCGGAUCAGAAAGUAGGGGGUGAAAUCCCAGGGCUCAACCCUGGAACUGCCUCCUAAACUCCUGGUCUUGAGUUCGAGAGAGGUGAGUGGAAUUCCAAGUGUAGAGGUGAAAUUCGUAGAUAUUUGGAGGAACACCAGUGGCGAAGGCGGCUCACUGGCUCGAUACUGACGCUGAGGUACGAAAGUGUGGGGAGCAAACAGGAUUAGAUACCCUGGUAGUCCACGCCGUAAACGAUGUCUACUUGGAGGUGUGGCCUUGAGCCGUGGCUUUCGGAGCUAACGCGUUAAGUAGACCGCCUGGGGAGUACGGUCGCAAGAUUAAAACUCAAUGAAUUGACGGGGGCCCGCACAAGCGGUGGAGCAUGUGGUUUAAUUCGAUGCAACGCGAAGAACCUUACCUACUCUUGACAUCCAGAGAAGCCAGCGGAGACGCAGGUGUGCCUUCGGGAACUCUGAGACAGGUGCUGCAUGGCUGUCGUCAGCUCGUGUUGUGAAAUGUUGGGUUAAGUCCCGCAACGAGCGCAACCCUUAUCCUUGUUUGCCAGCGAGUAAGUCGGGAACUCCAGGGAGACUGCCGGUGAUAAACCGGAGGAAGGUGGGGACGACGUCAAGUCAUCAUGGCCCUUACGAGUAGGGCUACACACGUGCUACAAUGGCCAAAAGAGCAUGGAAUCCCAAAAAGUGGUCGUAGUCCGGAUUGGAGUCUGCAACUCGACUCCAUGAAGUCGGAAUCGCUAGUAAUCGUGAAUCAGAUGUCACGGUGAAUACGUUCCCGGGCCUUGUACACACCGCCCGUCACACCAUGGGAGUGGGCUGCAAAAGAAGUGGGUAGUUUAACCUUCGGGAGGACGCUCACCACUUUGUGGUUCAUGACUGGAGUG